rnacentral:rRNA from 1 species
AACAGGAUUAGAUACCCUGGUAGUCCACGCCGUAAACGAUGUCGACUUGGAGGUUGUUCCCUUGAGGAGUGGCUUCCGGAGCUAACGCGUUAAGUCGACCGCCUGGGGAGUACGGCCGCAAGGUUAAAACUCAAAUGAAUUGACGGGGGCCCGCACAAGCGGUGGAGCAUGCGGUUUAAUUCGAUGCAACGCGAAGAACCUUACCUACUCUUGACAUCCAGAGAACUUAGCAGAGAUGCUUUGGUGCCUUCGGGAGCUCUGAGACAGGUGCUGCAUGGCUGUCGUCAGCUCGUGUUGUGAAAUGUUGGGUUAAGUCCCGCAACGAGCGCAACCCUUAUCCUUUGUUGCCAGCGAUUCGGUCGGGAACUCAAAGGAGACUGCCGGUGAUAAACCGGAGGAAGGUGGGGAUGACGUCAAGUCAUCAUGGCCCUUACGAGUAGGGCUACACACGUGCUACAAUGGCGCAUACAAAGAGAAGCGACCUCGCGAGAGCAAGCGGACCUCAUAAAGUGCGUCGUAGUCCGGAUCGGAGUCUGCAACUCGACUCCGUGAAGUCGGAAUCGCUAGUAAUCGCGGAUCAGAAUGCCACGGUGAAUACGUUCCCGGGCCUUGUACACACCGCCCGUCACACCAUGGGAGUGGGUUGCAAAAGAAGUAGGUAGCUUAACCUUCGGGAGGGCGCUUACCACUUUGUGAUUCAUGACUGGGGUGAAGUCGUAACAAGGUAACC